rnacentral:lncRNA from 1 species
CAAGCUACAAUUUUAAGUAAGGUAUCCCAAUUUUAAUAUAUGCAUCAUCAAUUAUAAUCUUUUUCACUUUCUGAAUUUACCAAUCUAUUCUUUGUACUACCAAGAUUCAAGCAACGCAAGGAAAGGAUCAUGUCAUGUCGUAGCGGUGCGCAGCCAGCGCAUAGCGUGAUUGCUGCGAACUCCACAUUUCGCCACUGACGCCAGUUGCCACCUGAUCAACCAACACUCGCCCCAUCUGGCACCGCACCGUCGAGAUGGACAUCCCCGUCCUCACAUUCGAUGCCGCAUGCAGGGCAAGAAGGGAUUCUUUGCAAUUACGGUCAUAGCCUUUGUCAUCGACAUUGGCGGGAUUUGCCCAGGCUGUCGGUGCCCGAAGGUGAAUGCUCUCGCCAAUCAACAGUAAGCCCAUCUGGUCUCGCAUCUCCGUCACCAUGGCUAGCCACUAGCACAGACCAUGAUGUUACAGCAUUCAGCGGUGUGGAUGGAGAGUCUUUUACAAUGACAUUUCUUCUAAUUUGAGCGAUGAAUGCAGACCAUGGCCGUCCGAAACAUCGUGAGACACGGCAGUGGGGCAGCUAAUGCUCAUUGACGCUAACUAAAAUAUAUGUUAAUUCUCAGUCACUGAGGUUAACAGAGUACAAUUUCUGCUCACAUUAUGUUAUCCCUUCAUGGUCUGUCAUUAAUGAAUAUUUUUCCAUUUCAUUACAUAAUCUUUGACCACGAUGCAUUCUACUAUCACAACUAGACCACUGGUGCUUCAGUUUUUUUUAUCAAGGCAAUUCAGUUAUUGUAAUGCACAACAGCACAAACGGGUGAGUUUAC